ensembl:lncRNA
ACACUCACUCUAUCUCACGCGCGCGCACGCGUAUCCCCACACGGAGCCGGCGCGCGUUUGGAGCGAACGGUCCGCCGCUCGUGCGAUUCCGCAGUCGGCGGCGAGCUUCGUCGUGACAAGAGUUUGGAGACGGUCUGAAGGAGCAGCCGAGGGGGAGGCAGGGAGGGAGUAAGGGAGAGAGAGAGAGGCAGAGGUAAGAGAUGGUAUCAAAAUAAGUGUUUUCGCUUCGCUCUGUUUAGAAACUUCCCCCGCGUGUCUCGCGGUCUCCCGCGCCGGCUCGUGCGUCGCAGAGGUGCCGCCCGGCGCGUCCGCCGCACGUUCCCAUGAUAACUGAAGGCGUGUUGGUCGAAGAAUUUCUGCCCGUGUGCCCUGCGUUGUGUGCGCGCGCGCGCAUGUUCACGCGCGCGUGCUUUUUAUUCGCAUCCGAGGGGGAUCCUCUCGUUGUGUCACUGGAAGUUUGAGGACCGCAGGCGCAGUUCACAGCGGAUCACGAAGCUGUGUGACGUGAGAGCGGAGUCGUGUUAUUCCUUCUCGAAGUGUGCACAGGUAACCUUUCCUUUUUGUUUUUGCAGGUCUGCCUGAUUGCUUCAUUUAAGUGCUCUUAUAACAGCUUUAACCCCGUGUUGUUGUUGUUGUUGUUUAAGAUUUAAACUCAAGGUGAACUGUGUUUGGUUACGCAACGCAGACAUCUUACCCACUAUUUUCAAACGGCUUUAAUUGAUUUUUUUCUGUGUAGCGUAUUCAGUGUAAUUGAAAAAAAAACAAGAACAAGUUAAUCGAUUCUGUGUAUGUGAAUUUCUAUCUAUCUUACAUGCUACAUCUGUUGUGUGUGUGUGUGUGUGCGUGCGUGUGUGUGCUUUACUGGUGAUACCCUUUCAGAUCCUGUGAGGUGGGGGUCAGUCACAGGGUCUCUCCUCUGGAAUUCUCCAAGAAUAGCUGGAACACACACCUACACACACAUAUACACACACACACACACACUUUGAGCUCAUCUUCAGACAGCUUAGUGUCUUUUCUUUGCUAAUGACCCACCGCAGCGCUUUAAUUGUUGUUGUAGUUGUUGUUCUCCUUGACGCCGACACUGACGAUCUCACCGCCGUCCAGUUAAGUUGUGUGAAUCUGUGGUUUGUCCUCUCUUCAUUCACUGAGUUCACACGUUACCUAGUACGUAUGCCAGGCGAGCUGAUGAUGGCCGAGGGCACUUUGGCAGUACAGGGACUCCCAGGAUGUGUGUGAUGACAUGUCUUUUUGCUGUAUGGCUUUUGUCCCCCACUCCUCUGAUAGACCUGGAAGAAUGGCAGGAAUGAGUCGGAGAAGGACAUCUUAGGAGAGCAAGAGACCUCUCUCUGGUUACUCCCCGGUGAUGGAUGCUUGGAAGUUAGUGAGUGAGAGGGAGAGAAAGAGAGGGAGACAGAGAAGAGGUGAGAGGAUCUUGUCUGCCGUAACUCGACCUGCCUGGAAGACACUGACUCUUAGAAGGCCACAAAGACGCUCUGCAUGAGCUGUGGGGAAUUUAGAGAGAAAGAGAGAGAGAUCAUCUUUGGCUUUGGGGCUGUAGAAUGGAUACAAUAAUACAUCCUUCUAGGAUACGUUCUCUCAAUAACAAUCACGAUAAAUGAUAAGGUAAAUAACAAGUUGCAGGUCUAGAGAGACCAUGUCUUGAUGUCAGGGCUAACGAGGAUGAUGGCAGGUUUUCUUUUUACUCAAUUGGAACCUGUACGUGUCCUUCAGCAGAAAGGAAAGAAAAGGUUCCGAGUGACCGUGAUUACAAGUGUGUUUCUCACUUUUCCUCCCGGAUGGACUGAUGCAGAACAAAGCCGUGAAACAUGAUGUUCAACCAGCUCGGGGCCAGAUAUCUACUCUGACAUCCCGUCCGCCUCCUCCACUCCGCCAGUGAUCAGCGGUACUUUGAAUUUGACUUCUCACAGCAAAGGGUUUCAGUGUCACCCGGGCCAGAGGUGUUAUUGAUGACGGUUCAUCAAAAGAUGCUAUAUGCUAAGACCUAUUUUAAAGGGCCACUGAUAUCAAUUGAAACCAUCUAAAUAGCUGUAACCCCUCUCUUCCCCCUUUUGAACAAGAAAGUUGUUUUUAUUUUAAACUUGCAAAUAAGUUGACCGUCCAGCCGCUCUGUCUGUCUGCCGCCUCCCAGCUUGAAUGGUGGUUUUGUGGAUGGACCGGUUGGCAGAUCUGGACGACAGACACCUGAGUCUGUUUUGGCACCGCAUUUAUGUAUCGCAGCAGCCGCUCACGGAUGUGCGUCUUUUCACGGGCGCUUGUUGUUCCCAAGCUUUGUGUGGAACACUUUGUGCGUGUGGAACAGUGUGCAUGCAUGUGUGAUAUUAAUCUGGGUUUCAUCCAGUUUCUCACAUAGGUGUAGAAGGACGGGAAGCGCCUAGCAACGGUAUCCCGUCGGAAUAUAUAUCGGAGUAUGCCGAUGGACGCUGGAGUAAUGGUUUCAGGGCAGAAAGGCAUCAGACAGGGUUUAUUGCCAAGUAUACGUGUGCACACACAAGGAACUUGGCAUUAUAUACAGCACGUCCAAUAAGCAUAUUGCAGAGUGUAGUAUGUCGUUCUGGCUUUACUAAUUUACCUCAAUUUAAAUCAUGGACCAUUUAUAGUUGGGUACACACGUGGGAGCCUAAAAGCUAAAGUUUCACGUAAGCAGGAAGGCAAGGAAUCGGCUCCCUACUUAAAUUCGACAGAUGCAGACCUCACAAUUCCAUAAGGGAAUACCAGCACAGACACGCAGGGUCACACACCAUAGCAGCGCGGUCAAUAAAACCGAGAUAUGUAAGGUAGGAGGUGGAAAACAGACCUCUUUGGUUAAGGCAGGACAACGACUCCCAGAUACUGUCUCUCUGUCAGACAGCCACUGUGGGCGAAUAAUACAAAUUGUCUGCACGUGUGUGUCUUUCAUGAGGGCGGUAAUGAAGGCGUAAUCAAGUUUAAUUUCUGGAGUACUUUGAUGUGUAACUAUGAGUUACAUCACAACCACACCCUCUGUGUGUGUUUGAUGGUGUGUCUGCCAGUUUGUCUGUGUGUGUGUGUGUGUGCGUGUGUGUCUGAGUUGUUUGGGUGUGGUGCGUCUAAAAUCAAGCCAGCGUUACGCUGUGUACCAGGCCACAAGUGCUGCAGGACAUCUCACAUUUAUGCUUUCUUAAUUGAUUCACAGUGUGAUUUAUGCGGCUCCCGGCACCCGCAUGUGCUCGCCUGCCUCGGUGUGCACGUGUUCACACACACGCAGAGGCACACACACACACACACACACACACACACACACACACACACACACACACACACACACACACGCACAGCAACACAAAAGCUCUGAGUUACUCAUCACAGCACCACAUAAGGCACUUUUGUAUUUAGCAGCUUUAUGGCACUUUUAGUGACACAGUCAUUCACUUUUACCAGCAGCGUAUGAGUGUUUGUGUGUGUGUGUCUGUAUGUGUGUGUGUGUCGAUAUGUUUGUGCGUGGGUGUGUUUGUGUGUGUGGACAGCAGGUCCACAGCGCUGUGUUUAAGUUCUGGUUUGACAUUAUCAGGCUUUAAUGAGCCGUACAUGAGUUGGCUUGUGUAGUAAAGCUUUGCUUUUAUGCUGCCAUAUUACAAACACAUGUGCGUGCACGCACACACACACACACACACACACACACACACACACACACACACACACACACACAUGUAGAUACAUGUAAAUACAACCCGCAGCUAUAUUUGGAAGCCAGUAAAACACUCUCUUUCACUUCUUAUGUUUAGUUUAAUCUGAAAAUACAGUUUUCUAACCUAGUUAUAAAAACCAAGUUCUUUUGUUGUUUCUUGUUACAUCAUCCUCAUCUCUUUGCAAUGUGGCCGUUUUACAUUUCAAUCACGUUUUAUUCUGUAUUAUUACCUUUUGUUCACACUGUCUUUACUCGUAGGCCCUUUUCUUUGUACAGCACAUUUCAACCCCGAGGCUUCACAUCACGUCCUUUAAAGCAUCAAAACAUGAGGCGAAAGAAAAUGAAAUUUAAAAACUAUAAAGAACAUUUAUUGGAACAUUAAAAACAAUCAUUUUAAACAGGCUCAAAAGAUAAUACCAGUCGCAGUACUAAAACACAGUAGUAAAAUGCAGGAAAUUGAUCAACGUUGUCCUCAGCGAAGUCCUCGGUCUUAAUUUGAAGCAGCUGAGAGCCUCCGCUCAGGUCGGCGGGUUCGUGAGGCAGCAGCAGGUCAGACAUGUAUUUUGUCUCUAAACCAUUCGGGGUUUUAUAAACCAGCAGCGGGUUUUCUCAGUGAGGACUGCAGCUGCAGCCGAUCAGCUGGAGAGCUUUCCUUCUCUCCUCUUCUCUUUCAACCGUUGCUUCCUGAUUGGCGUCAACGUCACCACCUUCUUCAGGCGCGUGAAGCGAAAACUCUUCUUCCUCCCUCGGAUUGGCUUCAACCAGCUAUUCUGAAUCCACCAGCACAUUCUGAAAGACAGCUGGUUCCUCAAAAAUAAUUUCCUAACUCUCGUUGCACCGUUGAGACGUUGGACCUCUCUUAGCUAUUGAGUGGAAGUGAUGUUCGGGGGAUACUGUCCAAUCAGGAGAUUGAACCAUGUGCAGUAACUAAGCUGAAUGGGGCUUUAGGGGCAAAAGCAAUGCAAUGUUCGCUUUAGUAGUAUUAAUGCAGUGAGAAAUAUACAAUUAAAUCAUCGCUAUUUACUGUAUUAGUCAAGUCAUUUAAUGUACUAUGUCAGAUGUGUUCAGGAUGUAUGGAAGCAUAAAUAGCUUUACAUUUCUAUUGUCAGAUAUUUUUUUCUUAAGAACCAGUUUGUAACCGGUUCUUGUUCAAAUCACAGCCCACAGUUUGGCUUUGACUUGAGGGCGAGCACAAACCGCAGGUGCAACGUGGCUCCGAGCCAGAUGUUACACACAUGAAAGAAUUAUUCUCAAGUCUGCGUCCGUGCAUGUUUUUCUGCUCAUUGAAAUGCAUAAACUCAGAUUAAUGGGUGUACAGUAUAUCCCCAUAAGCUGACAGCGCGCUGCACACCGGUGCCGCUUCUCAUUAGGAAAGUCUAGACCUAAACGCCGGGCUCGCAGCGGCAGCGGCACACGCUCGGCUAAACCCACAUCCCGGCUGGAGACGGUAGAGACUAGCGACUCGCUCUUGGCAACGCGCUGAAAACCCCAGUGCGGUGACGUCUCAAACAGAUGAAACAAAAUGUCCACCAAAGCACCGGUUAAACCAUGAGCACACAGAGCGGGAGAGAAGACGCUGGCAGCAUGCGGCAUCGGGGGAGGGAUGUCGUUCACAAAGCGGAUGCAAACAAACCGGUGCUGAUUGGGAUGGAGGUUGAGAGACGAGCGGAGCUAGAUGAACAUGUAAUGAGCAUGCACUUGGAGCUAAAAGGGAAGGUCGACAGUGAGGGUUUUGGUGGAGUCUCGUGGUGAUGUGAACUGAGAAAACGUUGCCCCCCCCCCCGUCUCUGUGGAUCGGGUCGAGCGUGACCCACUCGGAGACACGCAUACCCUGAGAUGAAAAGGCAGCCGGACAUUCGACUGAGCGGCGGCUUGGGUCACAUGCCCAAACACCACCUCCGAGAAUAGACACUAAACACUGGGAAGAAAAUAAGGCAGUAACAGAGGAUGUGGCUUUUGUUGCAGAGAGCUGGAGAAGCGCUUUGGAGUGCGAUCGUGCUUUACGUUUAUUUACAGGCUUAACUGGGAUUACAGAUGAGCAAUAGUUCCUUUUAAAUAUUGCUUUCGUCCCGGCUGUAAUGAAGGCCUUUAGUCCCCGGCAACAUUUUGAAGUUGUGAUUUUCUUUUUGUUCCCACAAGUUUUACCCCAGUUGAGGUUUCGUGCAGCCACAGGUUUAAUAGAAGGGAGGGGGGAGGGUUGGGUGAGGGGUUGGGGGAGUCCAGUUUUAAGGGCUGGUUUGUAUGAUGUGUCGUAAAUGCCGCCCCUAACCGGCUCAAAGUGACAGCUGGUCCAACUGAAACGGAUGUACAUUCAUUUUCAAAUUCAAAACUAUGGUUGGAUGACAUCGCUUCUGCCUUUUUAUGCUUUUUAAAUGAAGGCCUUACGUGCCAGGUCACGAACAACAGUCGACAUUAAAGAGAAAUGGAAACGAGAAGGAGACUCGGUCCCACAGAGGUAGAUUCAGACCGCUACCAGUAGGAACAAAUUUGAUUACUGUUGGGUCGAUUUCAACCAAAUAUUCCAACGUACGUCAUGGAAAUCCUAAUUAGAGGUUGGGUUAAGCUUACGCUUCAAGUUUUAUCAAAGGAUAUUAAGAGAAAAUUGGAAUUGGAGAUCAACAGAAAGUUCUACCACACAUUACUUGGUUCCAUCCUUUCAAAUUCGUGGAUUUGCUGCUCCUCUUUUGUUUUAAUGCGCAUCUUCUCGUUUUGUGCUGAUGGUCCAUCUUAUUAUUUUUUUAUACCAGCAUGCGCGGCACCGGACAGCUUUCCAUUAAAUGUGAGGUACACACAACCGAGAGGCACAUUCAGAGGUUCCCCGGUGGAAUAAGGUGACGAGGCUGCAGAUGCAGAUGAAGGAAACGUGAGACGAGCUGCACCACAACGUCCUGAUUUAGAUGUGGUUUUGUGUGUGUGUGUGUGUGUGUGUUGUGUGCACUCUUGCAUGGCAGCGAGAUAAGGAGCGGUGAGCCGGUGGUGCUGAGGAACGCGAUGACCCCUUCCCGGUGACAUCGGGCCGUGGCGACGGGGGUUUGCGGUUAGAAACCCUAAUCUGCUCCUCAUAUGACCCUCUGAUGGACAGGGACAGCAGUCAACGCACAUACACGCAUGCAGAUGCACACACGCGCACAGACACACACACACACACACACACACACACACACACACUCAAACAGCUCUCAGACUAGUUAGGCCAUCUUUGGCUGUCCAGUCUAAACAUGCUCAUAUAUGGAUUUCUGUUCAAUUCUGGAGAUCUCCUCUUUCCUUCAUUGUAAACACAAAGUCUGCGUGGAACUGCUUAGUGAGAGCUAAUGUGUCUGAGAGACACAAUGUUCAAAAGACGUCUUUACCGUAGCGAAAAAAAGACAUUUAUAUGUGUGCGUCUUCCUGUGACACUGUGAGAGGCCGGAGGUGUUCAUGAUUUGGACUGUGACUUCUUUAAGGCAGCCAUCAAUAUGUUUUUUACUUCUUUUUCACAUAUCUAUGCUUGCUGUGUUCAGAACUGAACAUGAACUGUGUUGCUCAGCAGUCUGUGUGUGUGUGUGUGUGAGAGAGAGAGACAACCGGUCAUACCACGCUUGACACACAUCACCUCACAGCUAAACGUCACUGACUGCGUCCCACGAUCAGCAGCUAGUGGGCAGAUCUCGUCAGUUGGCUGCUUAUUUUAGCGGUUAAUGUAUUAGCAUCAGUCUGUGUAGUGCAGCUUUUUUUAAACAUUUGAAUGAUGUCUGUUCGUGUAAAAACAUUGCGGCAUUUGGGGAAUGUCUGAGUACAGGACGCUUUGGAAGGAGCCAUUCAGCUGUGACCGGCAAUGGAUCUGGUCUGGUUCUGGCUCCGUGUCAUCUGGCUCUACUUCGCUUCCUUUUUGGGCUCUGGCUGUGCCCGACCACUCAACAACUACUUAUAAAUUAUGUCCCGCGUUUGUUUUGUUUGUAAUAGUAGCUGUUUUGGUAGCGUGGCUAAAUCGUUCGUUAGAUUCACAUUCAAUCAACGGGGUGGACGUUGGAAAUUGUUCAGCUCGAUGCAUCCGGUGUGUUCUUCACAUACGUGUUAUGCACGUGUGUAAGUAUGUGUAGUUUUUCCUUGCCAUGUUUUGAAAGGAAAUAAGAACCCAGGUAAUAAAAAACAUCUUUACUUUAGCUACAUCGAUUUUGCUGCAGUUUCAUCCCCUUGUGUGUCCCUUGUGAAUCUGAAAGUGUCGUACGAGUGUGAAGUUAUUAGGCGGAUACUGACAAUGCUUCAGCUCAUUGAUGUUGAACCCCGGCUGCAUCUCAUCAGGUCACGGCACGGCUUCCAGUGUGUGGUUUUUUUCUUGUGGUUUCUCGUUUGAAGUUGUUGUUGGCGUCAGCUGGUACAUCAGCGGUACAUCACAUUAGGUUCAUCUGUGUGUUCUUUGUCUCCUGUGCCAGCGUACAUGUUUGUGUGUGCAAUGUGUGUGUGUCGGCUGUCUGAUGUCUGUGUGGCACCUUGUGCAUCAGCAGAACGCUGCCAAAAGCAUGACAUCACUCAAAAUGUGCUUUUUAGAGUUGCACAGUGCAGAGGCCGGGUCACAGUGAGCUCCAGGCAAGGUACAGUUGGCAUAUGUUUACGUGUGUGUCUUUGUGUGUGAAAGUGUGUCGCUGUGCAUGUUUGUGUGGGUGCUCUCUGUACUAUUUGUGUGUAUGUGUGCACAAAUAUGAACGUGGAGCUGUUUUUGCGUACCUUCUUUUGGGAUGUUUUUUAGCAGAUGCCAGCUUUUACCGUCAUCAUAAUCGUCUCAUGUGGCCUACAAUUGUUGCUUGUUAGCGGCAUGUUUUUUCUUUCGCCCCGUGCAGGACAAAAAGCAGGAUGCGUGUGCGACUGUGUGCUGUGGCCUUACAAGGCCUUGCUUUUUUGAACCAGGAAGCGUUUAAGAAUAAGAAAAGACGUGACUCAAUGUUUUUGUUCAUUUGCACAGGAGCACAAAAACAUCCUCUUUGCUCUAAGCGGCUUCUCUAAGGGGAUAUAGAUGGUGUGUGUGUGUGAUUGUGCGUCCUGGAGUCCUUGACGCUAUUGUGUGGCUACUAAUGAAGUGGUGAGCUAUGUGAAGAGCGCUGGCCGAACAGCUGGUGUAGCGCUGGAGUUGCAGAACUGUGAAGGAGCACUUGUGCCGACUCAGCGUUUGAAGCGGGAGCGUGCCGCCAUUUGUGGACAAAGAGGAAAGAAUUAAGUGAAGGAGAGAGGUGGAUAAUGAGGAGAGGAGGGAAGUGUAAAGAAAGGACCAGUGCGAUUGAAAGGGGUUCCCGUCGAUCUCCGAAGAAAUUCACAACACUCGGUUCAACGUCCUUGAAAACUAAAUGUUGAAAACUAAACGUGUUCAAGAAGUCUCCAUUAAUAGUUUGGUCCAGGAACAGACGGACUGAAGGAUGGAUGAUCUGUGUGCAGUUUGAAGGCAUGUUGCAUGUUGGGUUAGCCGUGGUUAGCUCAGGUUCAGUCGCUGACCCACCAUGGCGGCCCGCUGCAAAGCAUGAAGGAAGCUGCCUCCAUCAGCUAAUGCUAGCACAACUUAGCUUAGCGAUGCUUUAAUAAUCAACAAAGGGAUUAAACGGGGGAUGAUGACAGUUUACUGUGAGAGAAAGAGAAAGCAACGUAUCACAUGUGGACACUUUUGAAACUAGUACACAAUCAUUUUUGGCUUUAAUUCAAAAUAAUUGCUGAUUGUUGAUGUCCCUCCGCUAACGGUUUCUCCCCCAUAGACGGCAAUUAUAAUCAUGGCCAACUUUAGUUACACUGAAUUGUAAAAAUAAUACAGUAUAUUGGAGCUGGACAAACGUAAUGUUAAACGUAAUGUGUAAUGGUCCGGGCGCUGUUACAUUUUCAGUGUGAGGACAUUCUCAUCCAAGGAUACCUGGAGCAGCUGAAAUGCACAUACCGUUCAACUUUAUUGCCUGGAGGGGAAUAGUAAUAGAAAACAGAAAACAUGUAAAUCAGUACUCCCUUUAUCCCGCCUUUCCUCUCUUUGUUUACAUGGGAAAUACCUCCAAAGUGAUUCUAUAAAGCCGCGCCUGUAGGCGCGGACCUGCCUGCAUUCAGCUGGCUUCAGCCCUCACUGCUGUUUUGACCAAUAAAGAGUAGUGGUAUUACUCUGGGACGUGCUCUAUCAAGCCUGCUGACGGGGUUUCAUUAUGAACAGCUAUGUGUGUGUGUGUCUCCAGAGUGCAGUGAUUUGUGGUCGAGGCGGCCUGGGUCUCCCCGGGACAAUAACUUUGGCAGACAAAACGAGAGAUCCCAGAAGUCUCAGCAGGACGCAUACGCACUCACUCACCUGUAUUUAUUCAGUCCCAAAGUCCUUCCGUUCACAUUUGUGCUUCUUGUAGAACCUAAAUAGACUUGGAUGUCAUCGUUCUUACUUUAGGGUUUAAUUGUGUCAGAUAUCCUCCGAUCCGCCUGCUGCUUGAGUCCCUCUGUGAGGGACCCAGCAGGCCUUUCUUAUGCAAUCCAGCCGGCUUAAACUCCAGCUCCUCCUCAAGAAAGACUGAUGGCCUUGUGCAUCUGGCACAGUUGAUGCAACACCUCUUGGUGUGUUUUAAAUUACGCAUAUUCUACUUGACACAGGAAAGCGGACGAGAGGAGGGUGAUUGUAAGAUAAAAAACGUAGUGUUGUGAAGAUGGGAUUUGUGCUUUCUGUUGGGCAACCAGAACCCUCUGCAAACAUUUUUAUCAAAUCUAUCUGUUUGGAGACAAAGACCUGCGGUUUCCCUGCUGUAAUUACUUUUUCUCUUUGUGCCAAAAAGCAUUAGGUGGCAGUUUUGAUUCAUGCACAGCUGAUGAAUGAACUCGAAUUUAUUUGAUUCUUAUUUUCAAGAAAUAUGAUGGAGGAGUUUUUGUGUGUGUGUGUGUGUGUGUGUGUGUGUGUGUGUGUGUGCAAACAUGCAGAGUCAAUAAAUAAUUCAUACAUGGAUUACAGAAAGAAGCAGAGAAUUGGGUCAGAACUGCAGUUUGUUUGUUGGACGUUUGGGCGUGUGGGAGAGUGAAAAAGUGAGAGAAAGAAUUCUAGACAGAAAGAAUGGAUGAAGGACAGACACGGUCUUCUGAAACUCGUGUGUAUACGUGUGUUUAACUGCACAUUGUAGUAAAACGUUUCCAUAUAUUUCGUACUUCUUUCCUCACGAGUAAUUCGAUAAAUGAAACCUUGUAAUCCCUCCUUUGUUACGACUGUUGUGGUGCUGAAGUCAAUUCCCCCAAAGACGCUCGUCUCUCUCGGUUCAUUUUUGUUGUGUGUUUGUUGGCGUAGCGUGCGAUGGCAGUAGCAGCACUGGGGCUGUGUGUUUGUGUACAUGAAGUGAGAGGGCCAGUACGGACCUGCUCCUGGCUGUGCGUUUGUUUCCUAUUCGGGGCGUCUCCUUAACAAAGACCCACUUCCCUUGCGACGCCCCCCCGUGGGGGCAGAGUCACACAAAGUACACACCUUCUUUUUUUGCGGAGGCUCACGCACGUGCACGCACAAACACACGCAUGCUCAUUCAUGUUUUGGCUGACUGUUGUGACAAGGGGCCUCUGGGGAUUUAGUGCUUCCUGGUGAAGGUCACAUUGAAGGGACACCUUCUUUUAGGUGGAGGAGGGAGAAAGAAGGAGGGAGAAAGCCAGAGGAGGACGGAGAGGUGAAAAAGCGUGUCACCUGCUUCUGCUCUUAAAUCCAUUCAACCAUUUGGAGAUUAACUAAAGAAGCAGGAGGUCUGGGAAGCAAAGGAUUAAGGAGAAUGAUAAGAGUUUCUCUGCUAAUUGAAUUUGUGUAAACCUCACAUAAAGCUGAUUGUUUGUGAGUUGUUUUUAGCAAUGAAACAAACCAUUUUGAUACCUGUAUUUGGAGUUUAUAGUUUAUAUGAGCUUUUUCAUGUUUUCUUGCAAGGCAAGUAUGUGUGUGCGUUUAAUACUGAAUCAUUCAUUUUCUCUAAUGUGUGUGUCCAGGAGGAAUGUGCAGGCAUUGGUGAGUGGGUGUACAGUGUGCGUGUGCAUGCGUGUGUGGAGGUUGUUCAGUGUUGUAAACACCGGUGGAGUUUGUUUACAUGCUUGAUAUCACUGGGAAGAUAUGGACACAUAGAUUUAAUGUGUGAACAGCAUAGAGGAAGGAGUGCGCGUGUGUGUGUGUGUGUGUGUGUGUGUGUGUGUGUGUGUGUGUGUGUGUGUGUGUGUGUGUGUGUGUGUGCGUGAUUACUAACCCACGAUAGUCUAUUUCUAACUGUCCGUCCAGAUUUCAAGUGCAGCUUGCCAGGAAGUGCAAUUUCCUGCUCAAGAGACUGAAUCAGCAGCAUCCAGCUGUUGUGUUUGUGUGGGGAGAAGAGACAGAGAAAGCAAGACCGAAAGAUGAGGCAACCGCCUGUUUCUUCCCAUGCAAUUACUUAAAAGAUGUUUUUCCAGGUGCCCCAUCCCCAUCUUGCCAGCCACAUUGCCCCACCCACAACCCCACCAAUCAUUCCUCCCCCUCCUCCCAGUUGCUCUUAUUUGCACUUUGAAGUGGGAAAGUCCGGCUCCAUAUUUCCCCCGAGAACCUGGGAUGGGACAAAUGUCCGCAAUGCAUCUACAGUAACUUGUGUUUACCUUUAAGUGUGGUUCUUUCUUCCUGUGGUUAUUGCUGUAGCCCUGCCUCAGCUACAUGCAUCAGCUUCAUGCGUCAAAUAACAUGCCUCAGCUACAUGCAUCAGCUUCAUGCGUCAAAUAACAUGCCUCAGCUUCAUGCGUCAAAUAACAUGCCUCAGCUACAUGCGUCAGCUUCAUGCGUCAAAUAACAUGCCUCAGCUUCAUGCGUCAAAUAACAUGCCUCAGCUUUAUGCGUCAAAUAACAUGCCUCAGCUUCAUGCGUCAGUUUCAUGCGUCAAAUAACAUGCCUCAGCUACAUGCAUCAGCUUCAUGCGUCAAAUAACAUGCCUCAGCUUCAUGCGUCAAAUAACAUGCCUCAGCUUCAUGCGUCAGUUUCAUGCGUCAAAUAACAUGCCUCAGCUUCAUGCAUCAGCUUCAUGCGUCAAAUAACA